AUGUACCUAGGGCCCGGCUGGGAGCAUUUCGCCCGCGCCCAGGAGCUACAGCUCGGGUACUUCCUUGUCUUCUGCUACGACGGCGACGACAUGUUCACCAUGAAGAUGUUCGACAACACCAUGUGCCGCAUGUACUACCAGCACGGCGACGAUGCCAAUAAGCUCUCUGCCUCUCUUCUUCCUGUCCUUUUGGCUUCCUCUACCUACACGACGGCAACACCAUGUUCACACUUUGUUGCAUUUUGGCCAGGCAAUGGGAGCAGCAGCGGGGAUGACGAGGAGCAGAGCGUGGAUGAAGAGGAGCAGCCUAUUCUGGCUGACGAUGACCAUGCUAUGAUGGUGGCUGACGACGACCCUACUAUGGUGGUGGCGGAUGACGACCUUGCUAUGGUGGUGGCGGACGACGACCUUGCUAUGGUGGUGGCGGACGACGACCUUGCUAUGGUGGCGGCGGACGACGACCUUGCUAUGGUGGUGGCGGAUGACGACCUCGCGAUGGUGGUGGCGCCUGCAAUCCCACAGCUUGGCGAUAGGACCAUGCCAAUUGUGGUAGAGGAGUACGUCUGCGUUGGGAUUCGCCACUCUGAGCGCAUCAGGUUGAUGAAGGAGAAGAAGGAGGAGUGA
rnacentral:rRNA from 1 species